rnacentral:lncRNA from 1 species
GUCUCAAGUAAUUCUUCCACCUAGGCCUCUGAAAGUAUUGAGAUUACAGGCGUGAGCCACCGUGGUCCGCCUAUUAAGGGUCUUCUUCCUCUUUCACCCAGGCUUGGACACAUAUUUUACAAAGGCAAAAUAUCCACACGGCCAAUAAACGUAGGAAAAAAAAAUCCUCAAUCUCCUUCGUCAUUGGAGAAGUGGUCCUUGAGAAUU